rnacentral:rRNA from 1 species
CCGAUGAGGGGGAUAACUACUGGAAACGGUAGCUAAUACCGCAUAACGUCGCAAGACCAAAGAGGGGGACCUUCGGGCCUCUUGCCAUCGGAUGUGCCCAGAUGGGAUUAGCUAUAGGUGGGGUAACGGCUCACCUAGGCGACGAUCCCUAGCUGGUCUGAGAGGAUGACCAGCCACACUGGAACUGAGACACGGUCCAG